UACGUAGGGACCAAGCGUUGUUCGGAUUUACUGGGCGUAAAGGGCGCGUAGGCGGCGUGACAAGUCACUUGUGAAAUCUCCGGGCUUAACUCGGAACGGUCAAGUGAUACUGUCGCGCUAGAGUGCGGAAGGGGCAAUCAGAAUUCUUGGUGUAGCGGUGAAAUGCGUAGAUAUCAAGAGGAAUACCUGAGGUGAAGACGGGUUGCUAGGCCGACACUGACGCUGAAGCGCGAAAGCCAGGGGAGCAAACGGG
rnacentral:rRNA from 1 species